UACAGAGGGUGCAAGCGUUGUUCGGAAUUAUUGGGCGUAAAGGGCGCGUAGGCGGUGCGGUAAGUCACCUGUGAAACCUCUGGGCUUAACUCAGAGCCUGCAUCCGAAACUGGCGAGCUAGAGUACGAAAGAGGAUCGCGGAAUUCCCGGUGUAGAGGUGAAAUUCGUAGAUAUCGGGAGGAACACCGGUGGCGAAGGCGGCGAUCUGGGUCGAUACUGACGCUGAGGUGGCGAAAGCGUGGGGAGCAAACAGG
rnacentral:rRNA from 1 species